GAAGCUGACAAAGUUUCCUAUUUUCUACUAUCUGUGUUCUUCACUUGAAAGUCUCCUCUUGGGGGCUUGGCAAGCUGCUUCUCAGAACUGCAAGUCACACCUACCCAAAGGUGCAAACAUGAGACCUGUUUUGCAUUUGCAAUUGCUUGAGAAUUUUGGCAAAUUUUAAAUUCUCCCAACUACAGAAGAGGGGAAAAACCUGCCGUCAACUGCUGACACCUUGGAACUCCCUUUUUGAAGAGUGGUGGCUGAAUCAUGCCGGCUAUCAAGAGAUGAGGUAGCGGGAUCUGUUUCCAUCAUAAGAGUCUCAGGAGCCGUCCCAAACAGCUGCAUUCAGCUUGUUCUCCACUAAAGUAGAGACUUUACAAAGACGCAUAAAGAAAAACAAAGGAAGUCAAUGCAGUGAAAAGAGAAAUAAAUGCUAGGAACUCUUCCUUGCCUAUAAAGCUAAACGGAAUAAAAUUGGCCUCUGACAAAGCAGCUUGCUCUGGUGGGAUGUGUAGAGGAGAGGUCCCGAAAGGAGCCAUGCUUUGGCGUUGUGCCCAAAUAACAUCACAUGCUAGAUGGGUGAAUGUUUGUUGAAGGACUGAGUUAACAAAAAUAACUUUAAAAAUAAGAAUAAAACCUUUCGGCAGUAUUUUGUGGUUUUUGGAAAACUGCCAAAGAAAACUACGAAGUUGUAGGAUAGAGAGAGUGUUCUUUCCCUUUUCUUGAAAAUAUUUGUAUGUACUAAUGAAAACAACAACACUGAAACUUAAAGGGUAGACAAAUUUCUGGUUUUAAUAUAAACAAGGAAAGGGAAGGAUGAGAGCCUAAAGAAGACUGCAAUAGCGUGUCCAGGGAUUGCUUAAGGAGAGUUUGGAAUAACCAAAGUAGGAAAAGCAAAACAUUUCAAUUAUAUAAUUAUUAAAAGAACUUAAACGAACAUGUCUUUAGUAAGACCAUAGAAUAGCGGUACAAAUGGUAAAGUAAAUACAAACUCUGAGACACCAGAAAAAAAUGUUAAUGACUUUUAUAGAAAAAUGAAACAGCUGCUUGACUUGACAACAUCAUUUAAAGAAGACACAAAAGGAGGUUUUGAUAAACUGGAGAGCAGAUUUAACAAAUUGAAAAAAGAGCUCCAGGAUGUAAAGAAAGACUUAGCCUAGAUAAAAAAAAAUAGAAAUAGUGGUGAAGGAAAUAAAACAAGACAUGAAAGCUACAAAAGUCGAUUUGACAGUCCUGGACAGCAAAUCAAAGAUUAUGAAGAACCAAAUGGAAACAAUGCUAGACCAAUUCACUCUAAUGGAACAGAAAUAGAAGGAAAAUACCUUGAGAAUAAGAGGAUAUAAAGAAGACAAUAAAGAAGAUUCAAGAACAAUAUGAGAUGUUUCUGUAGCAAACGUUCUCCGAAUGGAGGAAGAGAAAAUGGAACAAGAAACUGAUACAAUUUCUAGAGUAAACACAAGAUUCACCAGAAAAAGAAUAACCUCCGGAGUUAUAAUCAUAAUUUUGUGAGGAAAACAAUUAGAGAUGAAAUAUUUAUGAAGCACUCAAGAGAGAGAUUUAAGAUCAAGGAACAGGAAGUAUCAGUCCUAAAAGAAAUCCCCAUACACAUCCUUUGCAAAAGAAACAAUUACAUGUCUUUUGUGCCAUGGCUGGGAGACAACCCCCCCCACACAAAUUUUAGAUGGAGUCAACUAGAGGGGAUUCUAAACCAGAUUUAGAAAUUAUAAAAUUAAAGAUUGGCCACUUCAAAAUAAAAAUAUAAGUGAAAAAAAUGUGAGGGGAAAAUAAGAUAAUUUUUUGCUUUGAACGAAAAAUCUACCCAGAAUAUCAAUUUAAUUUGGGAAACAAGCAAAGCUUUCAUAAGAGGGAUUUUUAGAGAACAGGAAAUAAUAUGCAAAAAAGCAAGAAGAGAUGAAGAUGGAAAGUUAAUGAAAGAAUUGGCAAAUUAUGAAGCAGAACUAAGAAAAAGAUCAGCUAAUAGAAAAAUUAUGAAAAAAAUUAGCAUGAUCAGAUCUAAAUUAGGACAAAAAUAUGGGAAAUGGAAAGAAAACUUAAAUACCUAAAACAAAAAGAAUUUGAAUGGGCUAACAAGCCAGGAAGAUGGUUGACCACUAGAUUAAGAAAAGAGAAAGACUCUAGAAUAAUAUCAAAACUUAGAGAUGGGAAAGAAAAGGUUUAUAAAAGAUGAUGAAAAGGU